rnacentral:tRNA from 1 species
GCUCUGGUCGCUCCAUCGGAUAGAGCGUUGGACUUCUAAUCCAAAGGUUGCGGGUUCAAGAUCCGCCCAGAGUA